UAGGUAGCUGUUGGACUAUAACCUGGUGUUGUGUGAUUUUUAACUUUGCCCACCCUGUCCAACACCAGCUCCUCCAUAUUAGGGAUAACAGGUGACAGUGAGAUUGAACUUGAGCUGUAUGCAGUCCUUGUUGGGUAAUCUACUGACACUGACUAAGCUCAAACAGUGCAUUGUACUCAGGUAUGAGAACACUUGCUCAUAGCAAUGUAACCUGUUCCCCCAUGAGAAUACAGUAUAUACUUUCAGAACAGCAGAGGAGCAAGGGUAAUGUGCAUCUUGUGUACUCUGUGUACCUGCGCAGACGGUAAAUUAUGUACCCUGUCCCUUUGCAAACUAUGUGCUGCAUGAUUCAUGUCCUAACCUGGCGCAGAUAUAUAUAAUGAUACAUUGCAUAUCUGUUUUUGACUGAACAGUAUAUUACCACUUGCUGCACUUAUUGCAUAUUAUGAUAUGCCUGACGGCAGACUAAAUAUGAUGUAUGUUUAUGCCACUGCUGACUGUAUUUCCAAGCUGUAAUUGCUAUUCUAUGGUAUGUUCAUGUAUGGCCAUUGCAUUUAGAAUAUCAGCUCAGUAUAAGUUUAUGUGAGGUGUGACAGGGACAGGGUUAUGUGGUUCUUCAAGAUGCUGUAAAUCAUGAUGAAAGACCUGUGAUUUCAGGUGGUUCAGGUUGUAAGUGAAAUCAUUCAAUUCUUGGCGAUGUGCCUUGUGUUUAGAUAUUGAGACAGUUGACAAACCAUACCAUGGGUGACUGUGUUUAACAUCAUGUUACAGCUUUCAAAUGGAUUGAGUGCCUCAAACUAUCUUUGAAAACAACUGCACUGUAAACAUGACAUGCUAAUGCAUCACUGAGUUACAAUCUGAAUAAAAGGGUCAUGUUUUGAUUUUAAUCAAAUUAUUUCAAGCUUGGAGUCAUUCUGUACCCGUGCUUUACAUUAAAUUACAACACAAUCAAUUUGUGAAUAUAUCUGUAAAACAGUUAUUUGUAUGUUUAGUGGGUUUGGAAGGGCUCUUACUCUUGUUUAUAUGGGUCUAGUUUUUCAUAUUCAACAUACAAAACAAUGCUGUUCUACCAGUGGCUGAGCUAGUAACUGGCCAAAGGGCUGCUGAACCAUCUAGCUUAGGAAGCUAGUCUGCGAUCAGUUAGCGAGUCUCAGCCAGAACAGGAGUUGGGGUCAUACAGGAAGUUUCAAUGUCUUCGUGGCUGGGAAGAAAAAAGUCAGCCUAGGUUUUUGAUUACUGAUUCAUAUCUGUAGAGGCUUUCUGAUAUGCGCAUUUGAUAGUUUGUUUAGGUACAUGUACACAGCGUGUACAUAUGUCUAGGUACAUGUGCACAGAGGUAUGUGUACCUGCGUCUGUGUGCAGGUAUGUGCAGCUGUGAGAAGUUAGUUGCAAAUGUAUGCAUGGGUGCAGGUGUGUUCAAAGAGACAAUGGUACAUGUAUGACAGUUUGUGGCAAAGUAUGACUGUUUAUGUUGAUGUAUAUGCAUAUGUGUACAAGCGUGUAUGAAUGUACAUGUGAGCAUGUGUGUGAAGGUGAGUAUCUUUGUAUAUGUGGGAGAAAGGUUGAAUGCACAUUGAUAUCAAUGUAGGUGGCGCAGCUUUAACUGUCAACAGUUGUAUAUGUGGAAGUGUGUGCACACUGGUGUUAUGUGUGAGGUUAUGUGAGGUAGGUCUUAGUAUGUUGAAGAUGUGAGUUUCUGACAGUCGGUGCAUUUGUGCCAUGCAAGUAUGAGAAGGUGUAUGUGCACUCAUUUGUGAAUGUAUCUGUUCAAGUGUUUAUGUAUGUAUGUGUCUCUGUGGGUGUAUAUGCACCUUUUCUCCUUACAACUGCUCCCCAGCAGUGGAGAAUGCCACUCCUGGCAACCUUGGGCAUCCUCUUAAUUCAAAUAUUCCUCAACAUUGAUGUAUGAGAUACCAGGGACACAGAACCCUAACCCCUUACUAUGGGAGAAUUUACAGACACAGAAACCAAUCCAGUUAUGUUGGGGGUCCACAGAACUCUACCUGUUACUGUGUCGGCAUAUAACAGUCAACAACAACAAUUUGUGAUAGCACCUCCAACGUGGCCUGGGAUUAAAAGUUAAUUGUCUCUUGUGAGUAUUGUCAUUCAUGUCCCCAUGUUAAAAUUAGGGUUCCAACAAACUCCCACGUAACAAUCUUUGACCAAAGUCAUUGUCACCUCUUACCCCAUUCCAGCAGAUGGCAGCAAUCUGCUAUUUUCCAUCAUAUGCAAUAUCCCAUUUUCCAUCAUGUGUAAUAUCCCUGACCUGAGAGAGUUUAGUCUUCAUUCUCCUCAGUGUCUCCAGCCCUUCCUUAUUCUGAGAAGCACUCUGACUAACAAGUGCUGUUCCUGUAAGCUUAGCUCAGUCUCAAACUCUGCUCUUGUGUCACUAUUAUUGCUAAGGGCACUGUUUCUUGCUUGAGCUUCCUGCCCUGAUGAGCAACCAAUGCUGAAAAGUGUGUGUUUGCAUUCAUACUGGUUGAGGAAAGGUUUGUGGUUGGCUGCGAUACAUCUAUCACAUAGUCCACAGUUCGAUCCUUCCACUGACUCUCACACAAUAAAUGGGCAUGUGAGAAUUUGUAUUGGAAAGCAACCAACAACCAUGGAACUGCAGCCUAGGACGGGAAAAGGUGUAGGGGGAACAUGGUGUAUAUGUUUAAUUGCCAAUCCUUCUCCAGGUGGCAGUUAGAAAAUUGGCAUUUAGCAGGUAAUUGAGAUAUCAGAGGAAAAUUGAAGGGAAGCUACUAUGUCCUGGCAUGUUGAAUACUGUGCAGUUUGACAAUAUGCUCAAUAUGAUGCCUGAGAUCACAGUUAUCAUCUGCAAAAAUCUGCAUGCUGCUCAUCUUUUAACAAUGCUUUCACUGACCUCACUGGAGGGUUAAGCCUCCACUUCAGGAAGAUCAUGGUUAGAGCAAGUAGUGAAUUUAUUCCCACUUGUUCAAUGCCUCACACUGUAGAUGGAUUUGACACUUCAGUGCCUGCACAUUCUGUUCCUGAACAUAGCUAAAUGUUUCUAUUUGUCUACCAGCUUCAUCAGAAAGGAGUCCUUGCCACAGUCAGCUGGCUUUAGAUUUUCAACACUUUUCUGACUUCAUUUACUCUUUUAAGUACUCCCUUGGUCGUGUUCAUUGUGGAUUCACAGUAGAACAAAGCUCUCUGAAUUUGAAUAUUCCUCAACACUGGGUGUAUGAGAUACCAGGGACACAGAACCCCAUCCAGUUACUGAGUAGGGACAGUUAACAACAACACAUUGAAUUUAAUUAGUACCUUUGAUAUGGUAAAACAAUUGAAGAUGCAAACAGAACCACUGCAAAGCAAAAUGUCAAAGAGGUAGGUUCAAAUAGUUAUCUUAAAGGAGCAAAAGGUAAUGGGGCAGAGAGAUUUAGAACUUAGGACUUUGGAGGCUGAAGACAUGUCCACCAAUAAUUAUUAACAUGUAAGUGGGGAUAUUCAGGUAAAGGGAAUUAGACAUACCCUGAUAAAUUGUAAUUCAUAUUUUGGUGAAUUGUAAGGCUAAUGGAGAUUGCAGGGAUAGGAAGGGAUGAGGAAUGGACAGUUUUGAAAGCAAGGUUGAAAGUGUUUAAUUAUAGAGGUGUUGCUAAAUUGAGCGUCAAGCUAGAUCAGUAAGCACAAGGGUGGGUGGUGAAAAAAACCCAGACUUAAUGGAAAUAACAAGAAAUAUAGCAGAGUUUUGGAUGAGCUCACAUUUACAGAAUAUACAUAAUGGAGGAGGACAAGAAGUAGGUUAGAAUAGUCAAAUGUACAGGUAACAAAAGCAUAAAUGAAGGAACAGCAGACCUGAAGCAGAGUUAGAGAGAGGUGAUAUUAGAGAGUUGGAAAUGAGUAGUCUUGUGAACACACACAAACGUGACUGGGAUUGCAAACAGGCUGAUUCAGCCUCACAGUGGAGAAAUAGAGUUUGCAGCAGGGAUCUAAGACAACAACUUCAGUUACACAAAGGACACCGGACAAGCAAUCAGGAAAUUCAGAGAUAGUGGAGCGGGGUCAAGACGAGCGUGUUGAUGUAGAGCUUGGUGCUGUCCAUGCACAUUCGAAAACCGAGGCUGUGUUUUCAGGUUGCUAAGAAGCAUCAAAUAGAGGAGGGCUGAAGGAAGAUCACUUGAAGGGAAGGGGGCUUGCUAGGCGUGAUGUGGGAAUGAGAAAGUACAGAUUCCUGUCCCAUCAUUGUGUAUGGCACCAUUCCUCAGAGAAGCAUUAUGUUAAUAUACUGUCAGCGAAUCUGGCCGCAAUAAAACAUUUAGAGGUGUGAACUGUGGAAGGCAAAAUUCUUUUUGUGGCAAUUUUCAGUAACUCCUUUCUGGUGUAACAAAUGUCUCCCAAUUACUUCAUGCUUGUCAUUUCAUAUGCUGUGUGCUCAUUCACUAACUGUACUAGUAAUGUUGCUUUUAAAUAUAAUUGUGUACAUUUCUCUUGUUAAAAAAAAAACUUUGCAAGCUGCAAACAGUUCACUAAUCUAGUUAUAACACACCAAGGGAAUACCCUCAUCUCACAAUCUGAUACCAGCCAGUCACAGCUCAAAGGUUUGUAACCAGGCACAGUGACAUCACUAAACAUCAAAUGUGCCUGGGUUUGGUGGGCAAUGAUGCUCCCUGGACUGUGUCAGUGCUUGAGGCUGACAUGAGUCUACUACAUGAUUUCCUCUCCUUUUCUCUGUAACUUUCUCUUACUUUGUCUUUUACUCUGUUACUAUUUUUUCAUCUUUCUUUCAUUGCUUCUGUGUCUCUGUCUCAAUCUUGCCUUGUGGCUCUCAUUCUUUCUCUCCGUUAUCUCUCACUUUCUAACUUGGUCUCCAUUUUUCUAUUUGUUUUCUCUUUCUCUCAAUUUGUGUUUCCUUCACAAUCACUCAGUCCAUUUCUGCCUCUUUCUCACAUCCUCUCUCUGUUUUGCUUGUUUUCACUCUCUCUGGUGUGUUAUAAUGUUUGAUGUAACCCCAAGUUAAAAGGAUAAUGAGAUUUUGUGUUCCAGUUCUGUUUGACCGUAGAGAAUUUGCAUGCUAAACAAAAUGGAAGAUUAGACUGUUUGCACGCAGUCCGAGGUUCCAGCAAUCACACUGACGUUGAACUAAACCUAGGCUGACCCUUGCCGUGCCUUGUGAUUUUAGGACAAAAAUGUUAAUAGAUGAAAAAGAAGCCUUAUUAGAGCAGAUUAAAAAAUUAAAAGCACAACUGGAUGAGAGAACCAAGAAUGGAACAGUGGAAAAGGCAGAGUCCAGUGACACCAUUUUGGAAAAUGGGACAGAUGUACAAGUGAUUGAAAUGCAAAGAGAUGCUAACAGACAAAUCAGUGAAUACAAGUUUAAACUCACUAAAACUGAACAGGAAAUAACUGCGCUGGAACAAAAUCUUUCUAACAACAGAAUGCAGUCUGAACCUAUGGAAGAUUUACAGGACCCCAAAAUGUCUUCAGAACUAAACGAAAUGCCCACAUUUUACUGCAUUUGGCCUUGUAAAAAGUGCAAUUACUGCAAUACCUUAAGUACGCAAAAAUGUAGGAACUGCAGUGAACCAGUGAAAGAUGGAGAACAGACUCUGUAUUUGGAAGAUAAAAAUAUGCUACUUGCACACAACCAGAGAAUCCUUGCGUCUUUUUCCACUGCUGAGAAAGCAUUCCUGUGCUUCAGAGCUGUUAGUCCUAAUCCUGGACAGCUGAAAACAAAUGAAGGCAUCUGUGAUAAAUCUAUUAAUCCACUGUUUGACUCUGGAAUGAAACCUUACACCUUUGAUAGGGGAUUAAUGACUCAACGUGCUGAAGAAUUUGCAGAGGCAAAAUCUCAAUUUUCUGACACUUUGGAACCAGUAUAUGAAACUAACUCCCCUAAUGGAAGUUCAGUUGUUGAGGAUCUGACGAAGGAAACUGAUUUAGUGUUGGCUAUUGAGCAAGAAAAACACAACCAGAAAUUAGUAUUGAUGAAAAAAUAUGGAAAUGAAUCUACCCUAUCUUUGGACACGGAAUUUGAAAUGUACAGGAAACUGAAUGAAAUGACCUUGGAGCAACCUGCCAGUGAUUAUUUUCAGGAGGGUAAAAGAGAAAUGUUGCAUCAAUACAUUCCCGAACAUAAGGAUUUGGGGAGAUUAAAUAAUGAGCCAUUUCCUGAUUAUUGCACCAUGCGCAGCACAGAAAGCCAUGGUUUUGCUGACUUCACUGAUUAUUUGAGCUGUGGAGAGAGUUUUCCUGAAAAACAAACCCUAGCAGUCUGUCCAGAUGCUCAGAAUCCUGUAGAAUCUGAUCAAUUUGCACGUUUAUCUCCUUCAGUUGAAGAAAUAGAUGAGACCUCUUUUAUUUCUGCAGUCACUUCAACACAGAGAUCAUUCAUACAUGAGAAUAAAGAAAUAGCUAUUUGUGAAUGUGCAGAGAGGUCAACUGAAGCCGACCUUGUAGAAUGUAAAUCUGCUGGGAUCUCAGAAAAUGUUGAGAGCGUAUUCAAUGAUGGCAACAACAUACUUCCUAGUGGGAGCAUGUUAGAACAAGUUGGUUCACAUAACCAUGUCCUUCCAACUAAUGUACUGUUAGAGAGUGUUAAUCUCAGAGAAGAAUGCUUCCCUUAUCUAAACGAACAAUUUGCCAACGACCAAUCUACCCGUAGCACAUCAGUGGACAUUGAAAAAGAAAGUCUGGUACCAUUGGUGCCAUUUAACAUGAUUGGAACUGUAGCUUCUACUGCUAUUAUUUCAAAAGUUGAAGACACAUUACAAGGUAAGCAGAACAACAAUGCAGAGUGUGCAUGUGAAAGUCCAGAUCAUCCAGGGUGGAGAGUGUCCUGUGAACCAACUGCAGUUAGUUCUGAAAUGUCAGCAGAUUUAGAUGAACAGAAGUUUUAUGAUGAUUCGUUCGUGUCAGCUGCUGGGGAUAGCAUUAUUGCAAAUGUAGCAGUGGAAGACCAUUACUGUGGUGUGAGCCAAGUGAAUGAUGUAGAGAUAACUGAAGGCAAUCAAUUUAUCAACUGUGUCACACAGACAUCAGACUUGACUGCUCCUGGAGGUUGUACUUUGCUUGAAGGAACUUGUGCUCAAAACCAGGUGAAAUGUGACAACUGUUUCAACAAGGGCUCAAAAGGUUUAAUUAUGAAGAUAGAUCAAUAUAUUGAUGCCUGCACUGAUUUCAGGACUGAUUACACCAUGGAUAAAGACACUACAGUUGUCAUCCCUGUUAUUGACCGAGCUGACAACACAGACAUAACUUUGAUGAGCAAAAAUAGACCAACGCUGGGACAAACAAAGUAUGGAAAUAUUGUAUGUAAUUCAAAGUGGACUGCUGUUGAAUCUACUGUGAAACAACAAAGCACACAGACAGCUAAGAUCCCCACAGAGGAGAAAUCCAUCAAUACAGUCUUACAGACAACAGAUUUUAAUUCAGCUGCAAAGGAAUUGGGUCCCAGCCAGUGCAAAACCAAAUUGAGGAAAGUUCUUGAUGAACUUGAAGAGCUGAAGAAAAAGUGUAAAAGUACAGAACUGCAACAGCAGAAUUCUCUUUACCUGUCUGUCACUGAAGAUGGAAAUCAUUCAUCAGAUUGUUGCAGCAGUAUGAAGCAGAGAGCUAUAAAGGCAGAGUUACAGCUUUUGAAAAUGCAAUAUUGGAUGUGUCAACAGCAUUGUUGGAGAGUUUACAACAUGGCUGUCGAGGAAAGAGGCUUUAUAGACCUGGGGUUGUCAUGUUUGGAAGUUGGCACUGAGUAUGGCAUAGCUAUAUCAUCUGCUUUACAGGAGCUUAAAAUAAACUAUCAGAGUACAAUGCAGAAAGUGCUGGAAGGAAUGACUUUGGACAAUCUCCCUUCAUUGUCUGUUGAGCUACAAGGACUGUCAUAUUCUCCAUUUGUUCCUGCUAUGUUGGGUGAUCAACAACCAAUGUCUCAAUAUCAGAAAACUUCAAAUUAUAGAGAAUGGUUUGCAUUGGAAAAGGAACCAUCUCAAGAAAUUCCUGUUGGAGAUCAAGAUGAAACUGAUGUUCCAAGUGGUGAGCUACAGAACAGUCAUUAUCGGAAUGUUGGCCAUAGCGUUAAAGGAGAAACCGAUUGUGAAAAUAUUGUAAAACAGGCAAAGGAUCCUGAAGUGACUGAUGAUUGGUUUGAUGCAGAAGAGAAUUUCACUGCUAUUGGCUUCAAUGUCAUGGGAAUGAAAGCUAACAAAGGUGGAACCACGACAACUGAAGACGAUAGAACAGUCUACAAUGAUGCAUUUACACAUAUUGACAAGGAGACUGCUCAAACAUGUUAUAUUUACAUGGAUGGGUUACCUGGAACAGUAACAGAGAUUGAAUUAAGAAACCUUUUUCAGAAGUACCAGGUGUCUGGAAUUUGGCUUUGCACUUUGCAUGGUGAAUACAGGUGCGGAGUUCUAAGAGUUGCAUCUCCCAAUUAUGCCAAGCUGGCAGUGGAUGAAAUGAAUGGAAAAGAAUAUCAUGGGAAGCCAAUUAAAGUCCAUCUGGCAAAAAUCUCAGGAGAUCAUAUGUUAUCUGUACUUAAAAAUCAUUCACAACCAUCGUUAAAUGUGCGCACACUAAAAGACCAUGUUAUAAAGGACACCAACAUCAAAGGAAAAAGUCAGCCUGAGCCUUGUACUCCUCCAUUAUCAACAAGAGUUCUUAACGCAGCCUCUCAUAAGAUUAACAGAAGGAAAUACAAACAGAUGCAGUGUGUACAGGACAUUCCCUCAGCAAUAGGGACAUUCAUUCCUGCAAAUUCUGCUAAUUUAAGUAGCUUUAACAAACUGAUGAAGACUCUCUUGGAAAUGCAUCCUGAAGCAAACAGGAAUGAUAUUGUUCAAGCACUGAAGGAAGUGAAAUCAAAUAACAAGGGAUUUCUGAGUGGCCUGGCUCUAAAUACAAUUGUACAACUGGCUUCUGCUAUCUUGAAAAGGCACUUGUCUGCAAAUAACAAAGAAUAAAGAAUGUUGCCGGACAUACUGAAUUCUCCAGCAUUCCAUAAGAUCUUUUGAAAGGAUAACCCAGGAUUUUACCCAGUGACAUUGAAGAAACCGCAAUAUAUUUCCAAGUCAAAAAUGUAUUUGGAGAAGAGGACAACCUACAGAAAUGUUUUUGGAAACCCAUUCCAGACUUCUUUCAAGCAUGAGAUAUUUGCUUAUUUCAUUUCAUUUUGCAGUAAAUCUGUUACUUAUUGAGUAAUGGACAAGAACGUCUGUUGCUGCAAUGCUGCAUUUAUUACACAGGGCACUUUCAACCUGCCAAUUCAUUGCAUUUGUUAAACUUUGAGCUUCUGUUUUGUGAAAAAAUUAAAUAAAUUGAUGAGAAGCCUUUCCUCUCUCAGGUCUGCUGAAAUAUAUGAAUUGGGAAGGCAGUGAUAUUGUAUGUUUUAACUUGCAUUCAAAAAUGUGAAUUUGUAAGUACAUCAAACUAGUUGAUCCUCAGUAGCAUAAAUAUUUUUGCAUGAAGAAUGGUGCUUGUCUAAGAUACUACACUAUGUAUGCUUGACGUCUAAUAAACUAUCUCAACAAGGAUCAAUGCCUUCAGGACCGUAGGAUGCUGAGGUGAAGUGGAUAGUGUGGUGAACAAUUAAAUAAAUGUAACAGAAUACCUUCAGUA